rnacentral:rRNA from 1 species
CAGCGCCACAAGUGGUGAUCAGCAUUAUUGGGCCUAAAGCGUCCGUAGCCUGUUAAGUCAAUCCUUUGUGAAAUUGUUGUGCUCAACGUAACGAAAUGCAUAGGAGACUGCUUAACUAGGGACCGGGAGGAGUAAGAAGUAUUCUUGGGGGAGCGGUAAAAUGUUAUAAUCCCAAGAAGACUACCUGUGGCGAAGGCGUCUUACUAGAACGGGUCCGACGGUGAGGGACGAAAGCUAGGGGAGCGAACCGGAUUAGAUACCCGAGUAGUCC